rnacentral:rRNA from 1 species
GCCUCCGGGUAGAUCUCCCACCCACUGUUAUCACUACUCUCGUUGCUUUGGCGGGCCGCUGGGCCCUGCCCGGCCGCCGGCCCCGGCUGGCGCGUGCCCGCCAGAGACCUCACAGACUCUGAAUGUUAGUGUCGUCCGAGUAACUAUACAAUCGUUAAAACUUUCAACAACGGAUCUCUUGGUUCUGGCAUCGAUGAAGAACGCAGCGAAAUGCGAUAAGUAAUGCGAAUUGCAGAAUUCAGUGAGUCAUCGAAUCUUUGAACGCACAUUGCGCCCUGUGGUAUUCCGCAGGGCAUGCCUGUUCGAGCGUCAUUUCAACCCUCAAGCCUCGCUUGGUGUUGGGCCCUGCCCGCCGCGGCCGGCCCUAAAGACAGUGGCGGCACCGCCUGGCCCUCAGCGUAGUACAGCUCUCGCUCCAGGGUCCGGCGGCAGCCUGCCAGAACCCCCCAACUCUGUGGUUGACCUCGGAUCAGGUAGGGAUACCCGCUGAACUUAAGCAUAUCAAUAAGCGGAGGA